rnacentral:lncRNA from 1 species
UGUGUUUCUGAACUCAGCAAUUGGAUUGGGACUAGAGGAGAGGGCUGAAGGUGGGGCAGCUCCUUAAACACCCAGAAAGACAGAAGUGGGGAGGCCUCCAUCUUGCACGCACGAUGGACCUUCCUAGCACGGACAUAGGGAUGAACUACCUUAGAAGCACUGUUCUCUGCAGUCAGAACUGACACUGGUUUCAAUGCUUUAAAAAACAGGUGGUGAGAUGGUGCGGCCCGUAAAGGUGCUUGCUGCCAAGCCUGAUGACCUGAGUUCAAUCCUUGGACCCCCAUGGUGGAAGGAGAGAACCAAGUCCUGGAUUGAAUGGAAAUGAGAAGAAAACCGAAUCUGCUUUUAUCAGAUAAACUAAGAGCCAGUGAGGAUUUACAUGCCAGACACUGUGCCAAAGUC